GAUGAACGCUGGCGGCGUGCUUAACACAUGCAAGUCGAACGAAGCAUUUGCGACAGAUUUUUUCGGAAUGAAGUUGCUUAUGACUGAGUGGCGGACGGGUGAGUAACGCGUGGGUAACCUGCCUUGUACUGGGGGAUAGCAGCUGGAAACGGAUGGUAAUACAGCAUAAGCGCCAAAUGUUGAAUGACAUGGUGUGAAAAACUACGGUGGUAUACGAUGGACACGCGUCUGAUUAGAUAGUUGGUGAGAUAACAGCCCACCAAGGCGACGAUCAGUAGACGAGCAGUGAGAGAGACUGCCCACUCUGAGACUGGGACACGGCACAGACUCCUACGGGAGGCAGCAGUGGGGAAUGGUGCACAAUCGAGUGAACGCUGAUGCAGCGACGACGCGAGAGCUAAGAAGUUAUUCAUGAUGUAAAGCGCUAGUAGCAGGGAACAUAGUGACGGUACCUGAUCAGGAAGCCCCGGCUAAAUACGUG
rnacentral:rRNA from 1 species